rnacentral:rRNA from 1 species
GGAGCUACCAUGCAGUCGAGGGGCAGCACGGGGUAGCAAUACUCUGGUGGCGACCGGCGCACGGGUGAGUAACGCGUAUGCAACCUGCCCUGUACAGGGGGAUAACCCGGAGAAAUUCGGCCUAAUACCCCAUAAUGAUAUCGAGGGGCAUCCUUUGAUAUUUAAAGCUGAGGCGGUACAGGAUGGGCAUGCGUAACAUUAGCUGGUUGGCGGGGUAACGGCCCACCAAGGCGACGAUGUUUAGGGGACCUGAGAGGGUGAUCCCCCACACUGGUACUGAGACACGGACCAGACUCCUACGGGAGGCAGCAGUGAGGAAUAUUGGUCAAUGGGCGCAAGCCUGAACCAGCCAUCCCGCGUGCAGGAAGACGGCCCUAUGGGUUGUAAACUGCUUUUUCAGGGGGAGAAACACUCCGACGUGUCGGGGCUUGACGGUACCCUGAGAAUAAGCAUCGGCUAACUCCGUGCCAGCAGCCGCGGUAAUACGGAGGAUGCGAGCGUUAUCCGGAUUUAUUGGGUUUAAAGGGUGCGUAGGCGGAUCAAUAAGUCAGUGGUGAAAAUCUGCAGCUUAACUGUAGACUUGCCGUUGAUACUGUUAGUCUUGAGUAUGGUCAGGGCAGGCGGAAUGUGUAAUGUAGCGGUGAAAUGCUUAGAUAUUACACAGAACACCUAUAGCGAAGGCAGCUUACUGGGCCAUUACUGACGCUGAUGCACGAAAGCGUGGGGAGCGAACAGGAUUAGAUACCCUGGUAGUCCACGCCGUAACGAUGAUCACUCGCUGUUGGCGAUACACAGUCAGCGGCUAAGCAAAGCAUUAAGUGAUCCACCUAGGGAGUACGGCCGCAAGGCUGAAACUCAAAGGAAUUGACGGGGGCCCGCACAAGCGGAGGAACAUGUGGUUUAAUUCGAUGAUACGCGAGAACCUUACCUGGGCUAAAUGUAGAGUGCAUGUAGUGAAACACUGCUCCCUUCGGGCUCUUUGCAGUGCUGCAUGUGUCGUCAGCUCGUGCGUGAGGUGUCGGG